rnacentral:rRNA from 1 species
AUCCUGCCCAGUGACCAAAAGGUUAAACGGCCGCGGUACCCUGACCGUGCUAAGGUAGCAUAAUAAAUCGCCCUUUAAUUGUGGGCUAGUAUGAAUGGAUAAACGAAGGCUUAACUGUCUCAACUAUAGAAAUAAAAAUUGGCCUUUAGGUGAAAAGACCUAAAUAAAAUUAGAGGACAAAAAGACCCCGUAGAGCUUAGUAUUUCAACAACUUAAUUUUUUAUAUUAUUUUAUAAAAAACACAUUAGUGAAAAAUAUUUGGCUGGGGCGGCUAUGGAGCAAAAAACCUCCACAAACAACCAAAGAUUCGCUUAUCUUUUAUAUAAAAUGAUC